UACGUAGGGGGCAAGCGUUGUCCGGAUUUAUUGGGCGUAAAGCGCGUGUAGGUGGCCAUGUAGGUCCGCUGUGAAAACUCGAGGCUCAACCUCGAGCUGUCGGUGGAAACCACAUGGCUAGAGUCCGGAAGAGGAGAGUGGAAUUCCUGGUGUAGCGGUGAAAUGCGUAGAUAUCGUAAGGAAGACCAGUGGCGAAGGCGGGUCUCUGGACAGUUCCUGACGCUGAGGCACGAAGGUCAGGGGGAGCAAACGGG
rnacentral:rRNA from 1 species